rnacentral:rRNA from 1 species
GGGCGUAAGCGCGCGCAGGUGGUUUCUUAAGUCUGAUGUGAAAGCCCACGGCUCAACCGUGGAGGGUCAUUGGAAACUGGGAGACUUGAGUGCAGAAGAGGAAAGUGGAAUUCCAUGUGUAGCGGUGAAAUGCGUAGAGAUAUGGAGGAACACCAGUGGCGAAGGCGACUUUCUGGUCUGUAACUGACACUGAGGCGCGAAAGCGUGGGGAGCAAACAGGAUUAGAUACCCUGGUAGUCCACGCCGUAAACGAUGAGUGCUAAGUGUUAGAGGGUUUCCGCCCUUUAGUGCUGAAGUUAACGCAUUAAGCACUCCGCCUGGGGAGUACGGCCGCAAGGCUGAAACUCAAAGGAAUUGACGGGGGCCCGCACAAGCGGUGGAGCAUGUGGUUUAAUUCAAAGCAACGCGAAGAACCUUACCAGGUCUUGACAUCCUCUGAAAACCCUAGAGAUAGGGCUUCUCCUUCGGGAGCAGAGUGACAGGUGGUGCAUGGUUG